UUUAUACCAACUGCCUUCCUCAAAAUGCUUAUAAUGAAAUAACAGAAUCUUGAGUUGGAAACAGCCCAAAGAAAUAAUCCAAUGUUGUACUCAGUGCAGAAUUCCCUAGAAUUUCUAACAGGUUGUCAUUCAGCUUCUGCUAAGCCAUGUUCAAACAGCUUAUUCCAUUUGGAACUGCACUGAUAUUAAAAAAAAUUCCUUAUAUUGAGCUGAAAUCUACCUAUCUUCUAAGUGGUCUUAGUUCUGCUCUAAUCUCUCCUUCCAAAAUCUUUGGAUCUUUUGAAAAAAGUUCCUCCCAAGUUCUUUUAUAAGUGACAUGACUUUUAGACCCCUUCCCAUCUUUGUCAACAAAAGUAGGGUGCCAGACCAGUCACAGAACACUAAAUGUCAUCCAUGUUUCCUUCAGUAGAAACCAGCAGUUUUAAAAGAGGUAAGCUGUGUUCACUAAAGACUGUUCCAGCUUGACAAAUGCAGAGAUAUAAGUCUCUGGUCUUUAAUCACUGUGGGGGCCAUUUUGUAAAACACACAUACUGUCCAGCAGACUCCUUUGGUCAUCCCAAAUACCUCUGAACUCCAGGGAAGAUGCAUUCUAACUCCACGAACUUACCUAUUUUGUUAACCUUGAUUAGACCUUCUGGAGAAGUAACCAAUUUGUCCAUCUUAGGAGCAAUUUGGAAUGAGAGUUUUUAUUUUUUUCUGUAACGCCCAUCCUGCCUGCAGUAGACCCUUUGGGCUUAAGAGGUCCUACAGAUUCUAAUAGUUUCCUCUUUGUAGAUGUGUUAACAUAUUUAAAAUACUUAGGACAUGGCCUGGUACGUGACAGAUGGUGUUUAACAUCAUUGUCAUAUGAAGAACACUCUCUGUGGGCCAAUGGAGGUGUGCCUUAAAAUUCUUCAUCUUGCCUGAUUUUGUUUGCAUAACUUCUGGAGAGUCUGUGUCCUCCUCAUCUAGGCCACCUUUCCAUUUUUUGUGAAAGAUGACCUUGUCCCUGCAGUCUCCGCCAGGAGUCACACAGCUUUUCACAGCAGCUGCCAUCUUUAAUUCUUUUUCCUGAGAUUCCAGCAAGGUUGUGACAUUGUCACUUUUUUGUUCUAGACUCUUUUAAAUUUUCUGCAUUUGCCUGAAAAGCACCCCUGUAAGAAUAGAUUUCUCAUGGCUCUAAAAAUUAUUCCCAAGAAUACCUUACUUGGUUCAAAAGCAGACUGUUUCUCUUCAUUUCAUCUCAAAUCAGACUUCUGGGCAAGAUGUUCUUUAGAGUAAGCAAACCUACAACCUAAAAAUCUCUUCAAGAGGCAUCUCUGGUCUUGUGACGAGACCUCUUCAAAAACCCACAGUAAAACUCCCCUCCCUCCAGUUGGCCACCAGUCUGCCACCAAACAUGAACAAAUUCUGCUGCUAAUCGGUUUCCCUUGUGAUCUGGUUCCUGAGGUCUUCGGAUCUGUGCAAUGAAUUAUUUAUUGUUUUAUUAAACCGACAGUGGUGUCCCAGAGAGGAACCAUAAAUAAAAUGGAAAUCUGGUGCUGUGAUAAAGUAAUAACUAGCAUUAAUGAGACCUGGUUUUCCUUUCAGAAAGUCCAGUAUACCUGUAACAAAGGUUAAAGCAAUUUAUAUUUAAUUUGCAUUCUGAUGUUAACAUUUAAACAGCAAUUCUAACAAAAAUGCAUCGAGUCUAAUUCUUACCUCUAUCAAAAAACAACUGUAUAAAUUUAUGACCAACAUUAAAACAAAAACAAAAUGUAAAUUUUCUCUUUAGAAAUGAUUAACUGGAAAUGAGUGAGACAGCACCUUGUGGGUUUUUUAGUAAUAAAAAGCUCUUUUCAACCAAA
rnacentral:lncRNA from 1 species